rnacentral:rRNA from 1 species
AUUGAACGCUGGCGGCAGGCCUAACACAUGCAAGUCGAGCGGAUGAAGGGAGCUUGCUCCUGGAUUCAGCGGCGGACGGGUGAGUAAUGCCUAGGAAUCUGCCUGGUAGUGGGGGAUAACGUCCGGAAACGGGCGCUAAUACCGCAUACGUCCUGAGGGAGAAAGUGGGGGAUCUUCGGACCUCACGCUAUCAGAUGAGCCUAGGUCGGAUUAGCUAGUUGGUGGGGUAAAGGCCUACCAAGGCGACGAUCCGUAACUGGUCUGAGAGGAUGAUCAGUCACACUGGAACUGAGACACGGUCCAGACUCCUACGGGAGGCAGCAGUCGGGAAUAUUGGACAAUGGGCGGAAGCCUGAUCCAGCCAUGCCGCGUGUGUGAAGAAGGUCUUCGGAUUGUAAAGCACUUUAAGUUGGGAGGAAGGGCAGUAAGUUAAUACCUUGCUGUUUUGACGUUACCAACAGAAUAAGCACCGGCUAACUUCGUG